CCGUCUUUCCGAAAUUCAGUCAACACAUUAUGAUGAAUUUCCAAGAAUUGAGAACUCACUCAUUAUAUUCCAUGCAUGUGUGCAUGAUAGUGGUUCCAGUUCUUGUUGCAUAUGUUCAUUCUCAAAGCUGCGGGUCCAGUCCAGUUCGCUAUCAAAUAGUCUUCACUGGCAAGGCUGUCCAGGAAGACCCGCUGUUCACCGAAACAGGGAUCCAGUCGGAAACCUUCUGUCUACUCGUUUGCAAACGGCGUCUUAAAGGAUUAUGUUCUGGAUACGUCUACAACAAAGACCAACAGCGGUGCAUGGGAUACAUCUCGAGGUUAGAACAGCUGACGCAAAUAGCACAGGUCGGAUCGGUCGGGCUUGCAGCGAAGUCGUGCCCGUCGCCUCCAUCGCUGUCCAACGGCGUCGCUGUCUACAGCUCUGCUGGUAGGAAGUGUCGCCACCUACAAGUGUAACACGGACUACCUGUUCAUUGGACUCAGUACGUCAAGUGUAUGUGGUCUUUCUGAAUCGUGGAGCGGAUUUAGCGGUUAUUGCACACGUGUUUCCUUCUAUAACCCCGCAGUACCAUUCUUACAGAAUAUUCCUGGAACAGUUAGUAAUGGGUGGACGGUGGAAAUCUUAGGCACAGCCCUUUCCGG